rnacentral:rRNA from 1 species
UUACCGAGUUUACAACUCCCAAACCCAAUGUGAACCAUACCAAAACUGUUGCCUCGGCGGGGUCACGCCCCGGGUGCGUCGCAGCCCCGGAACCAGGCGCCCGCCGGAGGGACCAACCAAACUCUUUACUGUAGUCCCCUCGCGGACGUUAUUUCUUACAGCUCUGAGCAAAAAUUCAAAAUGAAUCAAAACUUUCAACAACGGAUCUCUUGGUUCUGGCAUCGAUGAAGAACGCAGCGAAAUGCGAUAAGUAAUGUGAAUUGCAGAAUUCAGUGAAUCAUCGAAUCUUUGAACGCACAUUGCGCCCGCCAGUAUUCUGGCGGGCAUGCCUGUCCGAGCGUCAUUUCAACCCUCGAACCCCUCCGGGGGGUCGGCGUUGGGGAUCGGGAACCCCUAAGACGGGAUCCCGGCCCCGAAAUACAGUGGCGGUCUCGCCGCAGCCUCUCCUGCGCAGUAGUUUGCACAACUCGCACCGGGAGCGCGGCGCGUCCACGUCCGUAAAACACCCAACUUUCUGAAAUGUUGACCUCGGAUCAGGUAGGAAUACCCGCUGAACUUAAGCAUAUCAAUAAGCGGAGGAAAAGAAACCAACAGGGAUUGCCCCAGUAACU